rnacentral:rRNA from 1 species
AGUACAACGCUGGCGGCGUGCCUAAUACAUGUAAGUCGAGCGGAUCAAUUAAGAGCUUGCUCUUAUGAGAUCAGCGGCGGACGGGUGAGUAACACGUGGGCAACCUGCCUUACAGACUGGGAUAACUCCGGGAAACCGGGGCUAAUACCGGAUGAUCAAUGGAAUUGCAUAAUUCUAUUGUAAAAGUUGGGAUUUCUCCUAACACUGUGAGAUGGGCCCGCGGCGCAUUAGCCAGUUGGUGAGGUAACGGCUCACCAAGGCAACGAUGCGAAGCCGACCUGAGAGGGUGAUCGGCCACACUGGAACUGAGACACGGUCCAGACUCCUACGGGAGGCAGCAGUAGGGAAUCAUCCGCAAUGGGCGAAAGCCUGACGGUGCAACGCCGCGUGAACGAUGAAGGUCUUCGGAUUGUAAAGUUCUGUUGUUAGGGAAGAACAAGUGCCAUUCGAAUAGGUUGGCACCUUGACGGUACCUAACCAGAAAGCCCCGGCUAACUACGUGCCAGCAGCCGCGGUAAUACGUAGGGGGCAAGCGUUGUCCGGAAUUAUUGGGCGUAAAGCGCGCGCAGGCGGUCUCUUAAGUCUGAUGUGAAAGCCCACGGCUCAACCGUGGAGGGUCAUUGGAAACUGGGGGACUUGAGUGUAGGAGAGGAAAGUGGAAUUCCACGUG